UUAGCGGCGGACGGGUGAGUAACACGUGGAUAACCUACCUAUAAGACUGGGAUAACUUCGGGAAACCGGAGCUAAUACCGGAUAAUAUAUUGAACCGCAUGGUUCAAUAGUGAAAGACGGUUUUGCUGUCACUUAUAGAUGNNNCCGCGCCGCAUUAGCUAGUUGGUAAGGUAACGGCUUACCAAGGCAACGAUGCGUAGCCGACCUGAGAGGGUGAUCGGCCACACUGGAACUGAGACACGGUCCAGACUCCUACGGGAGGCAGCAGUAGGGAAUCUUCCGCAAUGGGCGAAAGCCUGACGGAGCAACGCCGCGUGAGUGAUGAAGGUCUUCGGAUCGUAAAACUCUGUUAUUAGGGAAGAACAAAUGUGUAAGUAACUAUGCACGUCUUGACGGUACCUAAUCAGAAAGCCACGGCUAACUACGUGCCAGCAGCCGCGGUAAUACGUAGGUGGCAAGUGUUAUCCGGAAUUAUUGGGCGUAAAGCGCGCGUAGGCGGUUUUUUAAGUCUGAUGUGAAAGCCCACGGCUCAACCGUGGAGGGUCAUCGGAAACUGGAAAACUUGAGUGCAGAAGAGGAAAGUGGAAUUCCAUGUGUAGCGGUGAAAUGCGCAGAGAUAUGGAGGAACACCAGUGGCGAAGGCGACUUUCUGGUCUGUAACUGACGCUGAUGUGCGAAAGCGUGGGGAUCAAACAGGAUUAGAUACCCUGGUAGUCCACGCCGUANACGAUGAGUGCUAAGUGUUAGGGGGUUUCCGCCCCUUAGUGCUGCAGCUAACGCAUUAAGCACUCCGCCUGGGGAGUACGACCGCAAGGUUGAAACUCAAAGGAAUUGACGG
rnacentral:rRNA from 1 species